GACGAACGCUGGCGGCGUGCCUAAUACAUGCAAGUUGAGCGCUGAAGGUUGGUACUUGUGCCAACUGGAUGAGCAGCGAACGGGUGAGUAACGCGUGUGGACUCUGCCGCUGAGCGGGGUACGACAUGUGGACACGAAUGCUAAUACGGCAUAAAAACUCUGAACACGAGUUUUAAGAUUUAAAUAUGCAAUUGCAUCACUCAGAGAUGAACCCGCGUGGUAUUAGCUAGUUGGUGAGGUAAAGGCGCACCAAGGCGAUGAUACAUAGCCGCCAUGAGAGGGCGAUCGGCCGGCUUGGGAGUGUGACCCGCCCCAAACUCCUACGGGCACGAGCAGGAGGGAUUCUUGGGCCAGCGACGAAAGUCUGAGCGCGAUACGCCGCGUGAGUGUAGAAGGAUGUCGGAUCGUAAAACUCUGUUGGUAGAGAAGAACGUUGGUGCGCGUGGAACGCUCAUCAAGUGACGGUAACUGCACAGGAAGCGCCGGCUAACUACGUG
rnacentral:rRNA from 1 species